UGGAGUGUUCAUAUGUCAGUAAUCUCCUCCUUCAUGUUGAUCACAUGGAUACACCAUUCUGACCUCAGUUGAUGUGAUCACAAUGUCCAGGUGCUCAACAGGAAGCUCUAUGACCAGUGAGGAGCAGUGGCAGAAACACAAAUGACAAAGAAUGAGAAGUAGUGAUGGCCAGUGGUGAAAGGUUGAUAGUCACUGUGUCCAUAUGGACAAUAGACCAGUAGGAAACAAACCCUAUCCAGCUGUUCAGAUGACUGUGAAGCCCACAGAUACUUUGGAGUUCACUGAAAAAUCCAGAUUGUGUCCCAACUUUGCUUAUCAUGGAGCAAAGUCGUGGGGCUGCUUUGAGUCUCAUUUGGGAAAGAUAAAGUAUAAAUAGAAGAAGUAGAAGUAGAAGUAGUAGUAAGGUUAAGGACUAAAACCAUCAUAAAGACUGCCAGCACUGGAUUCAGGCUCUGAGAAGUCCUACCUCACAUCUCCCCAUGGCAACAUGAGUGACUGCCUUGGCAGGGAUUCCCUGUAUAACUUCUUGACAGUAUGGGGGAAAGGAAGGGAAGAAGCAAAGAAAAAGAACAGAAGAGAAAAGAAGAAAAAGAAAAAAAGAGAAAGGAAAGAAAAAAGAGGAAGAAGAUGUAUGAGGGAAAGCAAGGGAAGAGGGAAAUAAAGGAAAAGAGAGAGAGGGAGCAAGUGUGUGAGUCAAUCGAAGAAGGAAAGAAAGAGCCACAAAGUCUGCUUAUUAGUGCCAAAAGUGUUGCCUUGGAGACAUUAUGAGGUAGGCCUUCUCAGAGCUGGAGAAGGGAGUAAGUAGCUGGGCAUAUACACUAGUAUACAUAUAUUUCAAUCUGUAUGCCGUUGGCAGAGCUCACUGUGUUUGGUUGUUUUACUUGUAAAGAACCAUGUACAUUGGUGGUGCUACAUAAAUAAAUGAUGAUAAUAAUAA